rnacentral:rRNA from 1 species
AUUGAACGCUGGCGGCAGGCCUAAUACAUGCAAGUAGAGCGAGCGGCGGACGGGUGAGGAACGUAUGGGGACUGCCCGAUAGAGGGGGAUAACUACUGGAAACGGCGGCUAAUACCGAAUAAUGUCGGAUAAACCAUACGGGAUUAGAUAGUAGGUAAGGUAAGGGCUUACCUAGGCUACGAUCCGUAGCUGGUCUGAGAGGAUGACCAGCCACACUGGGACUGAGACACGGCCCAGAAUCCUACGGAGGCAGCAGUGGGGAAUAUUGCACAAUGGACGCAAGCCUGAUGCAGCCAUGCCGCGUGUAUGAAGAAGGCCCUAGGGUUGUAAAGUACUUUCAGUCGGGAAGCGUUACCGACAGAAGAAGCACCGGCUAACUCCGUGCCAGCAGCCGCGGUAAUAC